AAACAUCGCCUCCCGUAAAAAAUAGGAGGUCUAGCCUGCCCAGUGACCAAGUUAAACGGCCGCGGUACCCUAACCGUGCGAAGGUAGCGCAAUCACUUGUUCUUUAAAUGAGGACUAGUAUGAAUGGCAUCACGAGGGUUACACUGUCUCCUACCUCUAAUCAGUGAAACUGAUCCCCCCGUGAAGAAGCGGGGAUGACACUAUAAGACGAGAAGACCCCAUGGAGCUUUAAACUCAGUAUCAACUACCACAAACCACAUCACAUAAAACAGGUAGACCUGACCACUAGUUUUAGGUUGGGGUGACCGCGGAGUACAACAUAACCUCCACAAUGAACGACCCUCCCUCUUAUCCAAGGGCAACAGCCCAAAGAAUCAAAAAAUUGACAUCCAUUGACCCAAAUAAUUUUGAUCAACGAACCAAGUUACCCUGGGGAUAACAGCGCAAUCCAUUUCAAGAGCCCCUAUCGACAAAUGGGUUUACGACCUCGAUGUUGGAUCAGGGUAUCCCAGUGGUGCAGCCGCUACUAAAGGUUCGUUUGUUCAACGAUUAAAACCCUACGUGAUCUGA
rnacentral:rRNA from 1 species